CUGAAGUUGAAAAUGUGAGCCAGGUUGGGAGUUGAGUAGCAGGGCAAGAGUUUGGACUGGUUUGAAAUGGGACGUUUAACUGAUAGAACUGGAGAUUGUUUGGCCUAUAGGAUUGGAGGGAUAAACUUAUUUGACAGCUAUCGGCUUGUGGAGGACAGAAUUUGAAAAUCCUUCCACUAAAAGCACCUAGAAAUACUGGCUAAAAUAUAAUAUAUUUUUAUUAUCUAAUGUAGACACAGUUCAGAAAUGAACCUGGAACUAAAACCACAGUGAGAAGCUUUGAGCAGUGAUGCUCUGGCUUCCAGAGGACAGGUUGUUAGUCUCAGCAAUCUAGGAAUCUGCUGAUCUUCAGUUACCUGGGGCAUCUCUGUUAAUACGAAAAAGAAGAGGGGAGAUGAAUGAAGCCUUGAGUCUUUCUCAAAUGGGAAGUUGGAACCAAGGGGCCUACAUAAAGUCAGCACUUUCAAAGUACUGCUCCCUAUUAAGAGCAAAGACUAGAAACAAAUCCACUCCAACAGAAAGACAACAAAGAGACAGGCUAACAAUCUGUGCACUUAGUACUCAGCAAAGUGGUUUACUUUCACCACCAAAUCCGCAAAGCUUUCCUUUUUCUCUGACCUUGAAGACAUGAGAACUUGGAGAAGAAUCUGCUACACAGAAACUCUACCCGGGAGGCAGAGGCUGCAGUGAGCCGAG
rnacentral:lncRNA from 1 species